CGAACGCUGGCGGCGUGCUUAACACAUGCAAGUCGAACGGAAAGGCCCUGCUUGCAGGGUGCUCGAGUGGCGAACGGGUGAGUAACACGUGGGUGAUCUGCCCCUUACUUUGGGAUAAGCCUGGGAAACUGGGUCUAAUACUGGAUAGGACCAUGCUGUAGGUGGUGUGGUGGAAAGAUUAGUUUCGGUAAGGGAUGAGCUCGCGGCCUAUCAGCUUGUUGGUGGGGUAAUGGCCUACCAAGGCGUCGACGGGUAGCCGGCCUGAGAGGGUGGACGGCCACAUUGGGACUGAGAUACGGCCCAGACUCCUACGGGAGGCAGCAGUGGGGAAUAUUGCACAAUGGGCGAAAGCCUGAUGCAGCGACGCCGCGUGAGGGAUGGAGGCCUUCGGGUUGUAAACCUCUUUCGCUCAUGGUCAAGCCGCAACUGUGGGUUGUGGUGAGGGUAGUGGGUAAAGAAGCGCCGGCUAACUACGUG
rnacentral:rRNA from 1 species